AGUGGCGAACGGGUGAGUAACACGUGGGUAAUCUGCCCUGCACUCUGGGAUAAGCCUUGGAAACGGGGUCUAAUACCGGAUAUGACACUGGAUCGCAUGGUCUGGUGUGGAAAGUUCCGGCGGUGCAGGAUGAGCCCGCGGCCUAUCAGCUUGUUGGUGGGGUAGUGGCCUACCAAGGCGACGACGGGUAGCCGGCCUGAGAGGGUGACCGGCCACACUGGGACUGAGACACGGCCCAGACUCCUACGGGAGGCAGCAGUGGGGAAUCUUGCGCAAUGGGCGAAAGCCUGACGCAGCAACGCCGCGUGGGGGAUGACGGCCUUCGGGUUGUAAACCUCUUUCGACAUCGACGAAGGCCCCUUGGGGUUGACGGUAGGUGUAGAAGAAGCACCGGCUAACUACGUGCCAGCAGCCGCGGUAAUACGUAAGGUGCAAGCGUUGUCCGGAUUUAUUGGGCGUAAAGAGCUCGUAGGCGGUUUGUUGCGUCGGCCGUGAAAACCUGCAGCUUAACUGUGGGCUUGCGGUCGAUACGGGCAGACUUGAGUUCGGUAGGGGAGACUGGAAUUCCUGGUGUAGCGGUGAAAUGCGCAGAUAUCAAGAGGAACACCGGUGGCGAAGGCGGGUCUCUGGGCCGAUACUGACGCUGAAGAGCGAAAGCGUGGGGAGCGAACAGGAUUAGAUACCCUGGUAGUCCACGCC
rnacentral:rRNA from 1 species